CAGCACCUCAAGUGGUCAGGAUGAUUAUUGGGCCUAAAGCAUCCGUAGCCGGCUCUGUAAGUUUUCGGUUAAAUCUGUACGCUUAACGUACAGGCUGCCGGGAAUACUGCAGAGCUAGGGAGUGGGAGAGGUAGACGGUACUCGGUAGGAAGGGGUAAAAUCCUUUGAUCUAUUGAUGACCACCUGUGGCGAAGGCGGUCUACCAGAACACGUCCGACGGUGAGGGAUGAAAGCUGGGGGCACAAACCGGAUUAGAUACCCGCGUAGUCC
rnacentral:rRNA from 1 species